UCAAAACUCAAUCUGUGAAAUUUCUGGGGAAAACCCUUUUGUGUCCUGAAGGGUUCAAACUCUGUUGAGGAUCCAGUUAUCAGUUGCUCACCUGGAUGGUUCCAGAUCCCAAAGGGAAAGACUCUCGUAUCCUUGUCUUCAGGCUCGGUGCUGUCCAAGAAGAUACAGAGACUAGAAAAAUCAUAAGAAGCAAAAUAUGACUGCAGGGAAAACAAGCUGGAGAGAACAAAAGACUCAUCACGGCGGGACAGCGUGGAGACUGAAAGUGUGAGAAGAUGUGGAGGGGAAGAGAGAAUCUGACGGGAGCAGCGAACGCACGAGUGCACGAAUUUUGCUUUUUGCUUGGAUGUAAACUCAGGAGUUGAAAGGAAUUUGGGAGUGAGAAGGGACAUUUCAGAAGGUGAAGAAGAAAAAGAGGUUGUUGUUGUUGUUACAGUCCUGGCAAAAUCUUUUGUUCUAGCUAAUAAAAGAAGUUAGUUUAAGAAAUAAAAAGAAAAAAAUGUAGUGUUUUUUUUUUUACUUGACUAUUAUAUUCAUUGGUGGUAUAUGGUGUGUUGUUUUAUUUCUUGGUAUUAUUAACUCUGUGUAAAUUGUUUUUUGAGUGAAGCUGACUUUCUGGAUGGGUUGGUUUGUAUUUGAGGCAGCAUUAAUUUCAAUAGGAUUGUUUCAUAGAUUUCUGAUGGGUAUUACUGGGAUUUUGG